rnacentral:tRNA from 1 species
UUAAUUGAAGCCAAAACAGAGGCCCUUCAUUGUUAAUGAAUUAACUGAUUAAAUUUUAAUCCAAUUAAA